rnacentral:rRNA from 1 species
UUAAAUUGAAGAGUUUGAUCAUGGCUCAGAUUGAACGCUGGCGGCAGGCCUAACACAUGCAAGUCGAACGGUAGCACAGAGAGCUUGCUCUCGGGUGACGAGUGGCGGACGGGUGAGUAAUGUCUGGGAAACUGCCUGAUGGAGGGGGAUAACUACUGGAAACGGUGGCUAAUACCGCAUAACGUCGCAAGACCAAAGAGGGGGACCUUCGGGCCUCUUGCCAUCAGAUGUGCCCAGAUGGGAUUAGCUUGUUGGUGAGGUAACGGCUCACCAAGGCGACGAUCCCUAGCUGGUCUGAGAGGAUGACCAGCCACACUGGAACUGAGACACGGUCCAGACUCCUACGGGAGGCAGCAGUGGGGAAUAU